AAUCCAUGGUGUGGGCAUCUCUAAAUUAAUGUUUUAAAGCGCUCCCAAGCUUCGUGCAAACUUUCCCCUUCUAAUUGUUUAAAAGAUUGGAUCUUCUUCCUUAGUAG
rfam:Gossypium hirsutum cultivar TM-1 chromosome 8, whole genome shotgun sequence